AAUGAACGUUGGCGGCGUGGAUUAGGCAUGCAAGUCGUGCGGCAGCGGGCCCUUCGGGGUGCCGGCGAGCGGCGAAAGGGAGAGUAACGCGUGGGUCACCUACCUUUAGACCCGGGAUAGCAGCGGGAAACUGCUGGUAAUACCGGAUAAUGUCUCCGGACCAAAGGUGUGAUUCCGUCUAGAGAUGGGCCCGCGUCCUAUUAGCUUGUUGGUGGGGUAAUGGCCUACCAAGGCUGUGAUGGGUACCGGGUGUGAGAGCAUGGCCCGGCUCACUGGGACUGAGACACUGCCCAGACACCUACGGGUGGCUGCAGUCGAGAAUCUUCGGCAAUGGGCGCAAGCCUGACCGAGCGACGCCGCGUGCGGGAUGAAGGCCUUCGGGUUGUAAACCGCUGUCAGAGGGGAAGAAAUGUUAGUAGGUUCUCCUACUAAUUUUGACUGAUCCUCAGAGGAAGCACGGGCUAAGUUCGUG
rnacentral:rRNA from 1 species